GGGAAUCUACCCAAUAGUGGGGGACAGCCCGGCGAAAGCCGGAUUAAUACCGCAUACGCCCUACGGGGGAAAGGCGCAAGCCGCUAUUGGAUGAGCCCGCGUAAGAUUAGCUAGUUGGUAAGGUAAAGGCUUACCAAGGCGACGAUCUUUAGCUGGUCUGAGAGGAUGGCCAGCCACAUCGGGACUGAGACACGGCCCGGACUCCUACGGGAGGCAGCAGUCGGGAAUAUUGGACAAUGGGCGCAAGCCUGAUCCAGCAAUACCGCGUGUGUGAAGAAGGCCUGCGGGUUGUAAAGCACUUUCAGUUGGGAAGAUAAGGACGUUACCAACAGAAGAAGCAC
rnacentral:rRNA from 1 species